rnacentral:snRNA from 1 species
AUACUCUGGCUUCUCUUCAGAGCCUAUAAAUCUUUCGUCUUUUACUAAAGGUUUCCAUGAAAAGGAACAGCUCUGAGUCAUAGCCCAAUUUUUAAAAUUGAAU